UACGUAGGGUGCGAGCGUUGUCCGGAAUUAUUGGGCGUAAAGAGCUCGUAGGCGGUUUGUCGCGUCUGCUGUGAAAACCCGAGGCUCAACCUCGGGCCUGCAGUGGGUACGGGCAGACUAGAGUGCGGUAGGGGAGAAUGGAACUCCUGGUGUAGCGGUGGAAUGCGCAGAUAUCAGGAAGAACACCGGUGGCGAAGGCAGUUCUCUGGGCCGUAACUGACGCUGAGGAGCGAAAGCUAGGGGAGCAAACAGG
rnacentral:rRNA from 1 species